rnacentral:tRNA from 1 species
GCCUUCGUGGUGUAAUGUCCAGCACACUCGACGCGUAUUCAAGAGAUCAGAGGUUCGAAUCCCGGCGAGGGCA